UGGGGAAUAUUGCACAAUGGGCGCAAGCCUGAUGCAGCCAUGCCGCGUGUGUGAAGAAGGCCUUCGGGUUGUAAAGCACUUUCAGCGGGGAGGAAGGCGUUAAGGUUAAUAACCUUGGCGAUUGACGUUACCCGCAGAAGAAGCACCGGCUAACUCCGUGCCAGCAGCCGCGGUAAUACGGAGGGUGCAAGCGUUAAUCGGAAUUACUGGGCGUAAAGCGCACGCAGGCGGUCUGUCAAGUCGGAUGUGAAAUCCCCGGGCUCAACCUGGGAACUGCAUUCGAGACUGGCAGGCUAGAGUCUUUUAGAGGGGGGUAGAAUUCCAGGUGUAGCGGUGAAAUGCGUAGAGAUCUGGAGGAAUACCGGUGGCGAAGGCGGCCCCCUGGACAAAGACUGACGCUCAGGUGCGAAAGCGGGGGGAGCAAACAGG
rnacentral:rRNA from 1 species